rnacentral:piRNA from 1 species
GUAAGUGUAAGACUUUCUUGAGUUA